rnacentral:rRNA from 1 species
UACGUAACCCCUAAGUGGUAUCCCCUUAUAUUGGGCCUAAAGCGUCCGUAGCCUGUUCGACAAGUCUCUGGUGAAAUCAGUUAGCUUAACUAAUUGAAGUGCUAGAGAUACUGUUGAACUCGAGGCCGGUAGACGUGAAGGGAAUUUCUGGGGUAGCGGUGAAAUGCUAUGAUCCUAGAAAGACCGCCAGUAGCGAAGGCGCUUCACGAGCACGGCCCUGACGGUGAGGGACGAAAGCUGAGGGAGCGACCCGGAUUAGAUAUGGGCGUAAGAGAAAAUUAAAUUUAAUUAAUUUCUUUUUGCUCACUAAAAACCCGGUUAGUCUCAGCCGUAAACGAUGUGGACUAGGUGUCCUAGUACUCAUUGAAGUACAGGGGUGCCGAAGGGAAGCUGUUAAGUCCACCGCCUGGGAAGUAUACUCGCAAGGGUGAAACUUAAUGGAAUUGGCGGGGGCGCACUACAAGGGGUGGAUGCUGCGGUUUAAUUGGAUUCAACGCCAGACAACUCACCAGGGGCGACAGUAGCAUGAUGGUCAGUCCAGAGGGCUUACCUGACACGCUGAGAGGUGUUGUAUGGUCAUCGUCAGCUCGUACUAUGAAGCGUCCUGUCAACUCAGGCAACGGGCGAGACCCACAUCCUUAGUUGCUAUCUAUCGGUUUCGGUGGAGCACUCUAAGGAGACUGCAAGGGCAACCUUGGGGAAGGAGUGGGCGACGGUAGAUCUGUAUGGCCCGAAUCUCCUGGGCUACACGCGGCAUACAAUGGAUGGGGCAAUGAGCCCCGAACCCGAAAGGGCAAGGUAAUCCCCUAAACCCAUCCCUAGUUCGGAUCGAAGUUUGUAACUCAACUUCGUGAAGUUGGAAUCCCCAGUAAUCGGGUGUCACUAACACCCGGUGAAUAAGUCCCUGCGCC